AUUGAACGCUAGCGGGAUGCUUUACACAUGCAAGUCGAACGGCAGCGCGGACUUCGGUCUGGCGGCGAGUGGCGAACGGGUGAGUAAUGUAUCGGAACGUGCCCAGUAGCGGGGGAUAACUACGCGAAAGCGUAGCUAAUACCGCAUACGCCCUACGGGGGAAAGCAGGGGAUCGUAAGACCUUGCACUAUCGGAGCGGCCGAUAUCGGAUUAGCUAGUUGGUGAGGUAACGGCUCACCAAGGCGACGAUCCGUAGCUGGUUUGAGAGGACGACCAGCCACACUGGGACUGAGACACGGCCCAGACUCCUACGGGAGGCAGCAGUGGGGAAUUUUGGACAAUGGGGGCAACCCUGAUCCAGCCAUCCCGCGUGUGCGAUGAAGGCCUUCGGGUUGUAAAGCACUUUUGGCAGGAAAGAAACGUCGCGGGCUAAUACCCCGUGGAACUGACGGUACCUGCAGAAUAAGCACCGGCUAACUACGUG
rnacentral:rRNA from 1 species